CUUGGAUCGUCUCCGUCACUCUGCCACCCGCUACAACAGUGGCGACGAGGGUGACCACCCCGCGGAGCCCCCGCCACGAACAGCGGCGUCUCGGUAGCGCUGGGAGUCCUGCUGGGUACUGAAAGUAAUCGAGUCUACGGAGCAUCGGCGGUCAUGGCCCUGGCUACGAACCUCGGUGGUACCCCAAGUUUCAACGAAAAUCAAGAUAAGUGGGAUAUUUACUUGACUCGACUGGAGGCAUUUUUUGAAGCAAAUGAUAUUAAGACAGAUGAUAAGAAAAGGGCACUCUUGGUUUCGACACUAUCAACGAAGACGGUAGGCGUUCUUGCUGGACAGUGCGCGCCCCAGAAAGUAAACGCCCUGAGUUACAAGGACGCACUUACCAUCCUAAAUAACCACUAUGCGCCGAAGACUAAUGAGGUUGCCGCAAGUUACAAGUUCUUUACAAGGGAUCAGGCUGCAAGCGAAUCUGUCCGGGACUAUGUUGUUGAGCUACGCAAGCUUGCGGAUAAUUGUCACUUCGGUACCAGUCUGGACCGUAUGUUACGGGACCGCAUUGUGUGUGGCAUCCGAAAUCGGGCGGUGCAGCAGACGCUGCUUGAAAAAACUGAGCUCACACUUGCCCAAGCUGAAACGAUUGCCAUAGCAGCAGAGACAGCCGCACUGGAAGUAAGCGCCAUGACUAGACCUGAUAAUGAGGCAGCGGUGUGCACUGUAGCGAGUAAAUCGCGCCGAUAUCAGACCUUCGCCAAAGAUAAGCAAAGCCAUACUGAGUGCGCACGCUGCAGAAACUACGGUCACGAAGCAAGCGACUGUCCGCACAAAAAGGAGCAGUGUUUUCGCUGUCGGAAGACUGGUCAUUUCGCAAGAAAAUGCCGCUCCCAGUCGGGGCUCCGGGCUGGUCGUAGGCGCGAUGGCGUCGCUAACGCAGUUCAUUAUGAGAGCGCUGUAUCCGACACGGAGGAAGGCCAUAUUUCAUCAGUCUUCACAUUGCAGGAAUCACGGGAAAAGAAACUUUUGCUCCAGGCGUUCCGCAGAACUAUCCGCUGGGGUGGCGUGCCCUUGAACAUGAUUAUUGACACGGGAUCGCCGUUUUCUAUCAUUCCGCAGGAGGUGUAUCUAAAGCACCGUCUGAGUUGGCCACGCUUAUCGAAAUGCAAACACACGCUCAACUGUUACUUGGGCAAGCUGCCCAUUGUCGGUGAACUGCACCUUGAAGCCCAUUUUGCGGGGAAGACUGUACCUGCCACACUGAUAGUUACAGGCUGCUCGGGUCCCAGCCUUUGCGGAAGGGACUUAAUCCAAGCAUUCUCGCUUUUGCCUUCCGGGUUUCUCGCUGCGCUUCAAUCGACGUCAGCAGAUCCCGACAGCCUCAGGACCGAGUUUCCUGCCCUUUUUGAGCCAGGACUUGGAAACAUUCAGGGGCCACCUGUGAAAUUCCACAUUCGAGAAGGCGCCCAACCGAAGUUCCACAAAGCGCGGUCAAUUCCUUAUGCUCUUCGUGAAAAAGUGGAAACUGAGCUGGACCGUUUAGUAGAGCAAGGCAUAUUAUCGCCCAUAGCACAUUCUGAGUGGGCGGCGCCAAUCGUACCGGUACUGAAGAAAGACGGUUCCCUUCGCAUCUGCGGCGAUUUCAAAACCACAAUCAAUGCUGCGUGCAUAACUGAGCAGUACCCUUUACCAAACAUUGAAGACAUUUUCGCGUCGCUACGUGGGGGAUCAUUUUUCACAACACUGGACCUUAAGGAUGCAUAUAACUAACUCCCAUUGGAUGAGGAGGCGAGGAAGUUGGCCGUGAUAAACACUCACAAGGGGUUGUUCUGCUAUAACCGUCUUCCGUUCGGAGUUGCCUCGGCUCCCGCGAUUUUUCAGCGGCGCAUGGAAACGGUCCUGGCCGGUCUUCCAGCCGUGCAGGUGUAUUUGGACGAUGUAUUGAUAGUGGAACGUCAUGACGAUAAUGGCUCAGUGCUUCGGGACGCUUUGCGCAGGCUUGAAGAAAAUGGUAUCAAGCUGAAGGCCGAAAAAUGCCAUUUUCGCAAAGACUCAAUCGUCUACCUGGGCCAUCGCAUUGACAAAGACGGCUUGCAUCCGCUUGAGAAGAACCUAGCAGCAAUACGUGACUCGCCACGGCCUACAAUGUGAGCGAACUGCGCUCUUUCUUGGGUCUGUUGACUUAUUAUCACCGGUUCUUGCCACACAUGUCAACGAUGCUGGCGCCGUUGUAUCUUUUGCUUGAAAAAGAGCAUAAAUGGCACUGGGGAACGGCGCAGGAAAAUUCAUAUCUCAAGGCUAAACAAACACUUCUGAAUUCGCCUGUUCUGACGUAUUUCGAUCCCAACCAACCAGUGCGUUUGGAAUGCGAUGCGUCACCUUCGGGUUUAGGUGCCGUAAUCUCGCACCGAAUUGGAACAUUGGAUAAGCCCAUUGCUUUCCGUUCACGCACGUUAACACACGCUGAAAAGAAUUAUUCUCAGCUCGAGAAGGAAGCGCUCGCACUGGUGUUCGGAGUAACAAAAUUUCGAGACUACCUGCUGGGCCGCGAGUUUAUAUUGGUCACGGACCACCAACCACUGGUGGGACUUCUACGAGAAGAUCGACCUGUGCCCCCAAUGGCGUCGGCACGUAUUCAGAGAUGGGCUCUGUUUCUAAGCCAAUAUAGCUACCGCAUAGAGUACAAGGCCGGCAAGGAAAACGCCAACGCGGACGCACUCGGCCGCUUGCCCGUGCCGAUAACAGACGUUUGUCGAUCCGGCACCUUACCAGAAUACGUAUUGUCUACAGAGACCCUUGACAGCUCGUUCGUGCCAGCGGAUGCCAUACGGGCGCUGACGAACGGAGAUGAACACCUUAGCGUUGUGCAGCACUUUGUACUGAAUGGAUGGCCUAAACGCUUGUCACCGUGUCACAAUCACCUUCAACCUUAUUUUUGCAGAAGACUGGAGCUGUCAAGCGUAGAAGGUCUGCUCUACUGGGGUCAUCGCAUCGUCGUACCCCGCAAGGCGCGAGUCUCCAUGCUCGCUGAGCUACAUCGGUCACACCAGGGUGCAUCUGCGAUGAAAAGACUGGCUCGGACGCUGUUCUGGUGGCCUGGGUUGGAUGCCUCCCAGAUUCCAGUCCGGCGACCAGGUGUGGGUGCGCAACUUUGGCCAAGGGGAGCGUUGGCGUCCAGGCAUCGUCAAGAGCGUAGAGGGUUCACGCCUUGUAACGGUCGACACUCCAGAUGGCCUCGCCAGACGUCACUUCGACCAAAUUUUCCGUCGCGUGCCUGUGUCACCCGUGACCCCAAAAGCGGAGGCGUCCGACUCGCUUCAACCCAGCCCGGACAACAAGAAUCGGCCCUCGUCAACGCCAGAAGCAAGUGGCGCUGCGCCUGUUCCUUCGACAACACCUCCAACGUCCGUCCCAGCCGAACAGGCUCUCUCUCCCCAAAGUCCGCCGGUCUUACGGAGGUCUACCCGACAACGAAGACCCGUGCAAAGACUGCAGUUUUAAAAGAAAGGGAGAAGUGAUAUGAAGUGCUGUGCCACACGUGUCAAACAUGAUUCGUUCUUUUUAUGUUACGUCAUAGGCAAGCAGCCUAUAUAUCUAGUUCGCUGUAACUGAAAUAAACCAGUGCGGUACGUGCU